rfam:Rattus norvegicus chromosome 2, whole genome shotgun sequence.
GGGGAUUUAGCUCAGUGGUAGAGCGCUUGCCUAGCAAGUGCAAGGCCCCGGGUUCAGUCCUCA